rnacentral:rRNA from 1 species
AACGUAGGAGGCGAGCGUUAUCCGGAGUUACUGGGCGUAAAGCGUGCGCAGGCGGUGCGAUAAGUGGGGUGUGAAAUCUCCCGGCUUAACCGGGAGGGAGCGCCUCAGACUGUCGGACUAGAGUGGGAGAGAGGGACGUGGAAUUCCGGGUGGAGCGGUGAAAUGUGUAGAGAUCCGGAGGAACACCAGAGGCGCAAGCGGCGUCCUGGGUCCCAACUGACGCUGAGGCACGAAAGCUUGGGGAGCGAACGGG